UCCCUUUCUCCCUCUUUCUCUACCUAGUUUGGAGACAGGGUCUCCUGAUGUGACCCUAAUGACCUCAAACUGAAAAUCCACUGGCCUUUGCUUCACAAGUGCUGGGGUAACAGAGCUACUGCUGGAUUCCACUCUGUCCCGAGCUGCUGAUGCCACGCCACAGUCUUCCCUCAAGGCUGCGCUUCCUACUCGUCAAUGGCAGCCUCAUCCAGUCACGAGGCUGAAGAAGGUAUGAAAAAUAUACAAAUAUGUUUGCCCAGCCACAGAGGAGUCUGCAGAACAGCACAUAAUUUAUCACGAUUAAGUAUGCCUCAGCUGGAAAUGAAGCCAGCUCGUCUCCUAGAAAACAGUUCAGAAACCCUCCACCUGGGACGUUGAAAGUCUCGUCAUGUGAUCAACAUCCCUGUAACAUUUUUAUUCUCUUAGCCCAAAUCGGUAACUAAUAACACGAGUGUAGUUAUUGUGAAUUGGAUAUGGUACAUUUCACUUAUUUCUAAUGUAUUUUGAAAUAGAAAUAAAAAAUCCACCAUGAAUA